rnacentral:rRNA from 1 species
CCUACGGGAGGCUGCAGUGGGGAAUAUUGGACAAUGGGCGAAAGCCUGAUCCAGCCAUGCCGCGUGUGUGAAGAAGGCCUUCGGGUUGUAAAGCACUUUCAGUGGGGAAGAAAGCCUUGGGGCUAAUACCCUCGAGGAAGGACAUCACCCACAGAAGAAGCACCGGCUAACUCCGUGCCAGCAGCCGCGGUAAUACGGAGGGUGCGAGCGUUAAUCGGAAUUACUGGGCGUAAAGCGCGCGUAGGCGGUCUGAUAAGCCGGUUGUGAAAGCCCCGGGCUCAACCUGGGAACGGCAUCCGGAACUGUCGGGCUAGAGUGCAGGAGAGGAAGGUAGAAUUCCCGGUGUAGCGGUGAAAUGCGUAGAGAUCGGGAGGAAUACCAGUGGCGAAGGCGGCCUUCUGGACUGACACUGACGCUGAGGUGCGAAAGCGUGGGUAGCAAACAGGAUUAGAUACCCUGGUAGUC